AGCAGAAAGAAGGCAAAAAGCAGAGCUUUAGAAGGCAAUGUGUCCAGCUGCACUCUCAUAUCGUCCAGUUUGUGGGCACAACCCACUCACCUGAACCUGGGGGUCUUGCAGGCACGGGCUACCUCUGCCAGGACUCCAGCUCCUGGUAGGUCCUCCCCAGGCUGUGCAGGUGUAGCAGAAAGCUUCUGACGGGGCUGAAGAUGAACAACUUACUUGACAGUCUCUGGAGAUCAACCCUAAACCAGACAAACCCCUGAAAGAGCACAAGGCCACAUGUCUAGAUGUCCAUGGUUUCCAAGUCACAGCAAUGUCCCCAAGCUGGCAACUCAGUGGAUUUCCUUUCUGAGCAUAAAUCUGGCCUGGCUUUGGGGAUCCCCAGGCCUCCCAGAGGUCCCCACAAAGCACGGCCAUGAGAAGAGUCCAGCAUGCGGACCACUCCUUGGAAGUCCCCAGUAGGAGUGGAACUGUGAGGCUGGAGUGUCUGGCCCCAGCACCCUGAUCUGUGCACAUUUGGAAAAUUCUCGGCUCCCACUCCCAGCCUCUAUUUCCCCAGCUCUCCAAGGAGCUGCAGCAACAGCAAAUGAGUCUCAGCUUCUAUCCUGACUCAUUUCUGUACUGGCGACUUGGUGUACUGUGACCAGAAGGAUCCGGUUUGAGUAGGCUUGGCAGCUAAGAGUACAGCAACCAAUUAGUGACGUCUGCCACAGGUAAGGGAAGGGACAGAUCGGAACGCGUAUCCACCGGCUGGAUGUUCCUGGCUCGCAGACCUCUGGGUCCCCUCCAGCUCUGAGAAGCUGAGCCUCCCAGCUGAGGGAACCCAGCUGACCUUCCAAACCCUCUCCCAGCUCACCUGUCGUAGUCCUGGAUGAUCUGACCCACCGCCCAGAUGGCCGACAGGUAUUCAUUGGUGCCCAUGGGGUUGAUGUAGUGCAAAGAUGAUGGGUCCAGGGGAUUCCCGUUGGAAGCUGUGAAGUCUAUUCCAACCUGCAGAGUGGGGUGGGGCAGGCCACCCAGAGUGGCCACUGACCUCAGCUCCCUGUCAUAUCCCCAGGAACAGGAGAUGCUGAUGGGGCCCGGGAAGCCCACUCUUCUUUCAGACCCACUUCCCCAGAGGAUGACCUGAAACCUAGAAACUGAUGGCAUUAUUGUGUCACUGCUCUAAGGCCCCUGUUGGGUCCUUAGACCCAUGGCUUAGAUCCAUGGCUCCCUGUUGCCUAAGCAUAAAGCCCAAUGUCUAAAUGCAGUACUCAACUAAAGCACAACCUACGAUCCCUCUUUCUCCCCACCCCAAGCCAUCUCCCCACUGUCUCUCAGUGUCUGAGGGCUGGAGAUCCUGGCUUCCUGGCAGGGCACUGCCUGUCCCUGCAGUCAUCUGGGUGCUCAGAGGAGCCUGGUCCAGGGCUGGGGACAGCACACAGAGUUGGUGCUCAAUGGAGACAGGGGGGCUGAGGGAUCUGGGCGCUCCCUGUUUUCUCUGCCCCAAGGGGAUUCCAGCCCAGCCCCAAGAGGGGCAGCACAGGAUGGACAAGCAUGGCCCCUGCUCAGCAGGGGAGGAGCAGGACAGGGGUAGGGGGAGAAGGCCACUUUGGAACUCGGUCACUCUGGGGGAGGCACCAUGACAUCCUCAUAGUGCUGGAGGGUCAGCUCCCGCGGUGGGCUUGGCACGUCUUAGUUACCACGGAGAGCUCGGCAUAGAGGAGCUGGGUGUACAGGUGCCAAAUGAACACCUCCCCACCCACACCCCAGCCAGGAAGCAUGGGAAGGCUGGGCCCCUUUGCAGAGAGGGAGGCAGAGGAGAAAGUGGGGUUAGAGAUCAGCAAGGCCAAUCCCCUGACCCUGCAAUAUCCCCAGCUCCCUGAGAUCUAGUGGUGACAGCAGAGAGGCAAAGAGGAAGGUAGGUGUAGCGAGGCAUCUGAGGCUCCUCCCCUUAAGCCCUGAGGACACAGGAGGGCAAAAGGCCAGGCGAGUGGUUCAGUGUAUGGGGUGUGUACUCUGGGCUGCAGGCAAGGUGGCACAUUGUUCUGUGGACGGUGACCACUGAGCUCCGGCUCUGUGCACGACACAGAGGCUGAAUGGGAAGCAAAACACACUAAGUCCCCAACACACAGCACUCACAGGCUGGUGGGGAAGGGCCCAACAGGGACAAGUGAAAACACGUAAGGUGACUUCAGAGAGGGCAAGUGUAUGACCACGGGAACAAUCCGGGAAGAUCUCCCUGAGAAGGUGGCACAGAGCCUGGGGUGGGAGGAGGACAGACAGGCAUGGAGUGCCUGGAGAGCACGGCGAGGAGGACGUGGUCACAGACACGGCAGCAGGCAAGGGAGGGAAGCCUGGAGCCAGCGGGAGGAACUGACGUUUCUCUAUAGAAGGUUUUAGCUAAGACACUGGGAGCUCUGGGCUGUGUCCUGACAUGGGGACAAACCCCCUGUGCCUUUCCUCUCCGGCCACAGACACUCACACCUCAGGGAAGUCCUGCAGCCUAUCCCAGGCCCUUCCUGCUGCAGCACUGGCCUAAGCCCACAGGGAGGAGCAGCAGUGGGGAGAGGGGAGAGAAGGGGCAGCUUACGGUGAACAUGAGCUGGCAGCCUCCCAGGAUAUAGUCUAGGAAGGAGUAGUCUCGGUGUAUCUGGAAGAAAGGAGGGAGUCACUGGGUUCCCUGGUCUUGGCCACAACUGCCUUAGGGGAGGCCUUGCUCUAGGUCUUGAAGUCCUAGUAGGACAAGGAAGCGAAAAAGGCAGAUGGGCCUAAUCUGAUUACAAUCAAACCCAAAUCUCUCCAUCACAAAGCCCUCAGAGCAACGGCCCCAAUGGACAUGGACACACACACACACACACACACACACACACACACACACACAGAGAUGUGCGGAGGAUUCCAGGCAGGGUCCCAGGACCCAGUACCAAUUGCUCUUGCCAACUACCAGACAAAGUCCUCACUGGCCUUCACUCCUCCAGAACUUAAUAAAGCUGUUAAACACUAUUUGUUUUGCAGGCCUUGCCUCCUGCCAGCAAAGCACACUGCCCUUUCAGUUUCAGCAAAGUCUAUAAAUGUAUUUAAGUUAACUUUAAAAAUGGAGAAAGGCUGAAUGGAAAAAAUAAGUACGGCAGGUGCCAAAAAGAAUAUGAGUGGUGGAAGUUUCAGAAACAAUGGCCUAAAUUGUGCUCUCUUGCUGCAGUGUCACUAAAGGUCCACACGACUCCAAGUGUCAGCUGGGCCCCAAAAGGAGGCCUGGCACCUGGAUCAGCACCCACAGAGAGCAGCAUAAGACUUUCUCUUGUCCCACCUCUGGCUGCCUUCCUCCAUUCCACAAGACAAGCCAGACCACAGCCCAACCUCUGUUGCCGGGAGACUCAUCCCUCUCUGGGCCUCAGUGGCCCCAGCUCUGCCAUGGGAGUCACAGCCACUGCGCCCUCACUGAGGACAAGGGGUCAGGAGCCCCAGUGGACCUUUGCCCACUGCCCACCAUGCAAGGAGUGAGCCACCAGCAUGGACUGUGGUGGCUCCUGUAGUCCCCAACCUGGAGAGACCCAGGAAGCCACCUCAGGCCCUUGGCUCCCAUAUAGAGACUUUUCCACUGAGCUACAGGCACCAUCCACUCUUCAGCCCUGGCUCCAUUCCCAGGUGUCCGUGUCUGGGUAGGUGACAGGAGGCAAGUCACUCUGUCCACCUGGGCAUCACUUCUACACAAUGAAAAGAUCUGACUAUGUGCCAUUGUCAGACUUUAUACUUUGGGAAAACCCUUUAUUUAAACCAUACUUUACCUGGCAGUAGAGAGAGGAAACAAGAAGAAAGAAGGUCCCAGGGGCAGAUGUAUGUAUCUUGCACAGACUCUUGGAAUUGUACAGCCCAACAUGCCCCAACCUGCAGACCUAAAGCCUGGGAGAGGACAAGGCCCUGCACUGUGGGUCAACAGUGGCACAUGGGACUGGACCCCAUUUCUUGGCCUCUGGAUACUGGGGCCCCUAACCUCAGAGUCUGGGUGGCAGUCUAUUUCAGGACCGAAGCUGUGUUGACUCUUUCUUCCACCCAGUCUAGUUCCAAGGCUUCAGCAGCAGGAAUGGAAGAGAUCUUGGCCCUGAGCUAUUUUUAGGCAGGGUGACCAUGGGGUGGGACCAGAGACUACUGGGCAGGUGGGUGUAUCAGUAUGGGGAACGCCCUCAAGGGCAUGCAGGGUUACAGGGACCUGGCAGAGGGGACCAGUGUCCUAGAAAUGCCCCCGAGACCUGGGGGGUUCCCCGAGGAGUCCUGGGUGACUGCCAGUCAUAUCCUCACUUGCAGCAGCACUGUCAUCGAACUGGGAAGCACAGGAAAGUCCCUUCCUGCUCUAGGCCCCAUUUCUAAAAUGGGUCAACAGCCCAGAUUCAUUUGUUCUGGCCUCACAAGAAGGAGCCAACAUCUGAGGAGACUCUCUGUAAACAAACCACAGUGAGUUUAGGCACCACCAUGGCCCAGUUAAAUAUUUAUUUAAAAAAGAAAUAUAUAUUUUGGAAAAUAAACAUGCAUAUAAAACUAUCCAGAGGGCUGGAUACCAAACUGUGAAUAGCAGUUCUUAUAAGUGGGUUCUAACCAUUUGAUUGUCUUUGUUAGGUUUACAUAAAUUUUCUAAGUUGACUACAAUGAAUUCAGUUUCCCUUUGUAAAGGGAGAUAAAGCUUUAAAAGCUGAAUGUGUGAGCCACUCAGGUUUUUCAGUAUCUUUGCUCAUGCUGCAUCCUUCCCUAGGCCUCGGGCCAGAAUCUUCCAGCUUAGAAGUCCCUGGCCAGGACACCAUGGAUAUCCUAAGCUCUGGGAACUUCCACUGCAGGCAGGGGAAAAUAAAAUCCCCAUUUUAUAGAUGAGCAGAAGGUUCACACAGGGACAGCCACUUGCCUGAGGCCACAUAGCAGGACACUGCAUGGCUGGGACCUGGGACCUCUAUGUGUUUCUUUACUUUUCACUGUGUUCAUUUAGAAAUAAAGU